rnacentral:lncRNA from 1 species
AUGCAUGGUUGAUCAGUCCAUGCCUAACUAAGGCUAGGCUACCCAAUACCCGCCCCUGACAAUAACCCUAGUACCUAAAAAUAAUACUAACACUACUACCACUAAUAUAUUAUUACUAAUAAUAAAACUAAUAUUAACUACUAAAAAUAAAUAAUAAAUAACUAAACAUAAACUUAAACGAGAGUAUACCUCAAGACUAUCUACGGCACGUUGAUGUAGAGUUUCCCUACUCCUGCUCCUACUCGUGCUCCAAAAACGACUACUAACAACACCCAACGGGGUAUCGUAUACGCGGGAUUCUCAAUACUAGAGCGUUCCCGUUAAAAUUUUGGUGUAUCUAAAAUC